rnacentral:rRNA from 1 species
UCCUGACUGACCGAUAGUGAACCAGUACCGUGAGGGAAAGGCGAAAAGAACCCCGGCGAGGGGAGUGAAAAAGAACCUGAAACCGUGUACGUACAAGCAGUGGGAGCACGCUUAGGCGUGUGACUGCGUACCUUUUGUAUAAUGGGUCAGCGACUUAUAUUCUGUAGCAAGGUUAACCGAAUAGGGGAGCCGAAGGGAAACCGAGUCUUAACUGGGCGUUAAGUUGCAGGGUAUAGACCCGAAACCCGGUGAUCUAGCCAUGGGCAGGUUGAAGGUUGGGUAACACUAACUGGAGGACCGAACCGACUAAUGUUGAAAAAUUAGCGGAUGACUUGUGGCUGGGGGUGAAAGGCCAAUCAAACCGGGAGAUAGCUGGUUCUCCCCGAAAGCUAUUUAGGUAGCGCCUCGUGAAUUCAUCUCCGGGGGUAGAGCACUGUUUCGGCAAGGGGGUCAUCCCGACUUACCAACCCGAUGCAAACUGCGAAUACCGGAGAAUGUUAUCACGGGAGACACACGGCGGGUGCUAACGUCCGUCGUGAAGAGGGAAACAACCCAGACCGCCAGCUAA